rnacentral:rRNA from 1 species
UACGAAGGGGGGCUAGCGUUGCUCGGAAUCACUGGGCGUAAAGCGCACGUAGGCGGCUUUCUAAGUCAGGGGUGAAAUCCUGGAGCUCAACUCCAGAACUGCCUUUGAUACUGGAGAGCUUGAGUCCGGGGAGAGGUGAGUGGAACUCCGAGUGUAGAGGUGAAAUUCGUAGAUAUUCGGAAGAACACCAGUGGCGAAGGCGGCUCACUGGCCCGGUACUGACGCUGAUGUGCGAAAGCGUGGGGAGCAACAGG